GUUAGGAAUAUUGGACAAUGGGCGCAAGCCUGAUCCAGCCAUGCCGCGUGAGUGAUGAAGGCCUUCGGGUUGUAAAGCUCUUUAGUCCACGAAUAUAAUGACUGUAGUGGAAGAAUAAGCCCCGGCUAACUUCGUGCCAGCAGCCGCGGUAAUACGAAGGGGGCGAGCGUUAUUCGGAAUCACUGGGCGUAAAGCGUGCGUAGGCUGUUUUGUAAGUCAGAAGUGAAAGCCCAGGGCUUAACCCUGGAAUUGCUUUUGAUACUACAAGACUCGAAUUCGGGAGAGGAUAGCGGAAUUGUCAGUGUAGCAGUGAAAUGCGUAGAUAUUGACAGGAACACCAGUGGCGCAAGCGGCUAUCUGGACCGAUAUUGACGCUGAGGCACGAAAGCGUGGGGAGCAAACAGGAUUAGAUACCCCGGUAGUCC
rnacentral:rRNA from 1 species